rnacentral:lncRNA from 1 species
UAAAUUCAACUACCUACCACCUGAAAUACCCUUUGUUUCGUGCACAUAUAUAUAUAUAUAUUGAUAUAAAUUAAAUUGAUUAUGAACAUGUGCAUAUAUAUAUAUAUAUAAUGUCAUCAGUAUAUAUGCCUAUAUAGUUUUUUUAUGCAUAACUGUGUAUAACUAGCACAAAAACUUGAAUGCAGGGAAGUAUUUGAUGAAUAUGGAAAAGAGUUAGUGAAACUAUGUGGGAAGUUGAUAAAGGUUAUGUCCAUAAACCUUGGAUUAGAAGAGGAAUAUCUUGAAAAUGCAUUUGGAGGAGAAGACAUUGGUGCGUGUCUAAGAGUGUGCUUUUACCCAAAAUGUCCACAACCAGAAUUGACGCUUGGUUUGUCAUCACACUCAGACCCAGGAGGCAUAACUCUCUUGCUUUCAGAUGAACAUGUCUAUGGUCUUCAAGUUCGAAAAUCCAAUAAUUGGAUUACGGUUAAGCCUGCUCCACAUGCCUUCAUUGUUAAUAUUGGUGACCAAAUUCAGGUAAGUAAUCAAAAUAAUACUGUCCUUUUCUCUAUUCAACUUUUGUUCUUCAUCAUUAUUUAGCCAGUUCAUUCUGAAUGGAUAAAAUCUAUUAGUUUGGAUAUAUGGAUUCAUAUGUGAAAUAUGAUAACAGAUUUAAUCUUAUGUAUAAUAAUAUUUUUCGUUAGAAAUCAAUACAUUCUUAAUAUGAUCAUAAAGUUGAGUAUAAGGGUUUAUCAUUAUGGUCACAUUGAUGAGUUAUGACCAGCCUAUUUUCGACAUACAAAUGUUUGAUUUAUUUAGUAAAUAAGUUGGAUUUGGGAUCUUCAUAGAACCUAUAUGCAACUAUGCAGAUUAAGAUUUGGUUUCUCAAAAAACCUUACCCUAUUAAAUUAGCCUAAUUAAUAAAUACUUAUUUAUAUAAGUAAAAUUUAUAAUGUUUUUUACAAUCAUCUAAUGAUAUAUUAGUAUAAUAUAAUAGUUUUGUCAUUAUAAAAAAAUUGAAAUCAUUUUAUUAUAAAAUAGUUAUAAAAAUUGAUUUUUUCUUAACCUACUAUAUAUAAAGAUAUUCGUUUAUAGUAGAUUUUAAAAUACACAUUCGAAUCAAAUCAAGCUUAUAAAUAGAUUGAACCCAGAUAUGAAACAAAGCUAAUAAUACAAGUAGCAUACCGAAUAUCUAACCUUAUCAACAAGCUUAGAUCUAUUUAUGCAAAGCCUAACCUUAUCAACCCUAUGAGACUAAUAUCUAAUCACUUAUUCUCUAACCAUGGUUCUGAAGAUACAUAUUUUUAACCUGUAUAUUUUAGUAAACACCUCUUCUACCACUCAAUAUGAAACUCAUACUUUAUGUUUGUUUGAGAAGGUUCUAAGCAAUGCAAUCUACAAGAGUGUAGAGCACAGAGUGAUAGUAAAUUCAGAUAAGGAAAGAGUUUCAUUGGCUUUCUUCUACAACCCAAAAAGUGACAUACCAAUAGAGCCAGCAAAGGAGCUUGUAAAGCCAAAUAGGCCUGCACUCUACACUGCCAUGACCUUUGAUCAAUACAGACUCUUCAUUAGAUUGAGAGGACCUUGUGGAAAAUCUCAAGUGGAAUCUUUAAAAUCUCCAAGAUGAUUGAUGAACAGAAACAUUGGUUAUCUUGUCCAAUCACACGUCAAAUAUAUAUAUAUAUAUAUAUAUAUAUACCCUCUCAAGCAGAUAAGUUGUUUCAGAAUUUGAAGAUAUAAUCUACUUGUUAUUAAGUAACAACCUUACUGUUAUAUCGAGGAUCACCAUCUCACUUGAUAUUGUGCAUUAUUUAUACUAAACUAAUUAUAAAAAUAAAUAUGCAUUUGACAGUGCACAAAUGGGUUGUGAUUUUGACAUGGAAAUCCAUCCAUCAUAUUUUGGAUCUAACCGUGAAUAGGGUCAAAUGGAAACGCAUGUGUUAGUGCAUGCUUGCAAUUUAACGAAAAAGUUCUAAUCACUUAGCAUUUCAUUAAUUUUAUAAAGCUCCCAUUUUCUAUGGACGCAAUAGUCUUCCAUCUUGAUUCAUGACACAGAUUCAUAAAACUUGAAGCUCAUUUGCCAUUAUGAGUUAAUAGUGGCUUGGUUUCUUUAAAUCUUUAAUCCCUCAAAUUUUGUGUUUUUUUAUUUUAGUAGGUUAAAUGUUUUUUAUUUUUAUUUUUUUCAAAAGAGGGUGAGGUUGAAAUAAUGAUAAGUUUGUUACUUAGUAACCAUGAGGUUCACAGAUCCAAAUCUUGAAAAUAGUCUCUCCACUUGCGGGAUAAACAACAUACAACUGUCAUCUCCAAAUCACACUAAGUGGGAGUUUCAUUUAAAAGGAUGUCAUUAACCCACAUUAGGGACUAGAAUCAAAUAUCUUAAAAUUGUGAAGGCUCACAGUGUCGAACCAAAUUUUUUUGGUGUAGAAGCAAAAGUACACAAUAUUUCAGGGACUAAAAACUUCAAAAGUCUAACACCUUCUAUGAUUACUAUCCGCAAGGAUAAAGUUCUUUCUAGUACAGAAAAUCCUAGCAAAAAAGAGCAAUCAUCAUGUAAAAGUAUAUAUCAAUUGUAAAGGAAAAAACUUAUUAGGAUCCUUAAUGUAUAACCAUUUAUUUAUUUAUACUAACAACAAUCAGCAUGGUGAUAUACCUAUAGAACAGAAAGAUAAUAAUUCAUUACAAUUUACAAGAGUAAUAUUUCAUCAUACAUUACUUGACAAAGAUUACCUUCACCUUUGAUCUCAAGAAACAGCAACAUGAAAACAUAUAUAGCCUUUGUUGUGAAACUGUAGUAAUCUGGUCUCACAAAAACCAUUGAGUGCAAAGACCACUAGUAUAGUAGUGUUGUCCUUACCUGUAAUGAAACAGGUAACUUUGGCUUAGAAUUUCCCUUAUUUGGUAACAUUUAAAAGAGGGUCAUAUUGCAGAGGCAUAUAGAUGUAAAUGAUGUUACAAUAACUUUCAUAGCAAUGAAAAAUGGUAAACUGGUGCUGCCCCUUCUGUUAGAUUUAUGGUCACCCUUCUCUCCUAGCCUGUUAAAUCAUAUUGAUGGAGAAUUAUAAAAUCUGGUUCCAAAAAAUCUUGCACCAUGUGAUUAUAUAUAAAAAGGACGGUUCAGUGCACGAGGCUUCCACUUGGUGGAGUCUAGGGAGGGUACAUGUACACAAUCUUACCCUGCAAGCGGAGAGACUAUUUCCGGGAUUUGAACCCGUAUCCUCAUGGUCACUAAGCAACAACCUUAUCAUUAUGCCAAGCUCAUGGUAUGUUUGAGACUUCCAACUUCUAUACAUCGCUUUUUUCCCACAAAAUAACUUUUCUUUGUAAUUUAAUCGGGUUUGCCAUAUAUAUAAGAUUAAAAAUAGUUGUUUUAACUUUUAAGUAAAAAUAUUGUUGUCUGUGCCAAACAUGCUCAGAUACGUUUCCAUGUCAGAUUAAUUUCAGUAAACUGUUGAUUCCCUAUUCUACUUACUAUAAAUUUCCCCUCAGUCUGUGAAGGUUAUUGCAUAUAUAGUUAAAUAUCAACCAGCAACAACACAUUAUCAAUAAUAGCAUGCUGAUAAAAUGCCAGUAAUUCUCACAAGCAGAGUAUUCUAUAUGCCUAAAGGGAAACGUAGUUAUAGCAAACCAUAAAGCAAGGAAGACACGUCAGGAUUACGGAGAAAAAGCUAAAGAAGUUAACAAGCAUGUCAGGGUUGAGGCGAACCUUGGUGAAGACAAACAGUUGGAAGAGCUAGGAAAUCCAGCAAACACAUUUGAGUAGGACUUCGUCAGAUAUGAAAAAUUGGCAACCGGAGGCAGCGAAGGUAUCCUUUCGCCCUUCUUCAAAAGUUCUUGCAGGUUAAUCCUUUGCAAGGUCAAAAUAGCCCUCGACUCCUUCCAAAUGAAGGCAAUGACACCAUUUUGAAAAACAAACAGGGAACCGGGCUUUGAACCAGGGUAUCUGAACCCAUAACCACUUGCAAUACCCUCUCCCAUGAAAGCAUCCUUGAUAUCCACCGGAUUCGAGUCUGCAUCAGUGUCCCAGGGAAAGGAUUCAGAUGAGGGCUCAUUGAUGUUCACUAUAAACAUUGCUGAACCAUUAGGAUGCAAGACAUAGUGAGUGCCUUCCAAUAUUUUGGUUGCGAUGACAAGUUGUUGUCCCUGUGACUCCUCGUAAGAGAGAAGAAGAAGGAAUAAAGCCUUCCCGGGCUUGUCUUCAGAAGGCUUACCAGGAGGCCAACCAAAAGUCCCUCCCCAUAAACCAGCAUAUUCUUGGUCUUCUCUGGGAACUCGUAAAGGCAGCUUGUAAAGUGCAAACUGAUUGUCGUGCAUACUUGGCCAUGCUCGAUAAGAAAACAGCUCUACGGUAGAGGCAUUUAAUAAUAGUCUUAUUGUGUCACUUGAUCUAAGAAAUUCUUGAAGUUGUGCAUGCCUGAUCUCACUGCUUGAAGUAAGCUUAUUAGAAUUUGAAUGACUUCCAUUAAUCGAAUUAGAUCUUCCAAGGAUCUGUUUAAAGCUAUUCCAGAAAUAUCCACCAAUACUUUUUCUCUUGAUGUGUUGUGUUCGAUCAUCCACCUCCUGUAGAGGAUUAUAGAUAGGCCUUGAAUAGACAAGACUCUUUCUGAUAUCAUCCAGUUCUAACUGUUUUGAACUAACCUCCUCUUGAGAACUUGCCUUAUAAUCAAUCUGACUAUAACCAAGAUUGAACAUUUCACUAAGGAGUGAUCGUCUUUCCCACAAGAACACCAAAUCUUUUUUAAAGUUGUUUUCAUCAUCCCUUAACCUAGGAAAUAAUGGUUCAACCACUGUAUCGGGAACCUUUUGUCGAAUUUGGCUAGUAGUAACCUCAAGCAACUUUCUUCUAUCAGUAAAAGCUAAUUUGCUGAAGGAAACCGUUGCCUCAUUAUUCACCCUUUGUGAUCUAGAAAGUUCACUAUUUGACCUACAAACCUUCCUCAAUAACUCCUUGCCCGAGUUAUGUGCCAAUGUUUUACUCGGCAACAAAGUACCAGGAUUUUUUUGUAGUUCAGGUUCAACCUCAAGCAACAGUAAAUUGCAAGAUUUCUCUAUAGGCUUGACCAACCCAGGGUAAAUAUAAUCAAUUUCCUUCUCCCUUCCAUGGAGUAGAAAUGUAGCAGAACCAUCAAAAUCACCAAUCACUUCAAACACAGAUGCCCAAAGGAUGGGACCUUCUUCAAUACCCAAUGGACCAAGCUCCUGAGGAAUUAUCCGGCAACCAACAACCGAAAUGAAUCCAGGCAUGACAUACACCACAUUCCCAAGCUCCGGAUUCUGAUGAACCCAUAUUCCAAUCAAGGGCUGAACGCUCACUAGAAAACGGCAAAGUGCUUUAUAAGAAGACACACCCUUUCUCCACUCAACAAGGUCCUCAUGAGGCACUAUGCCCAAAGCAUCACAUUCAGUGAGCCAGAUUUUCUCAGAAGCCACAAGUGCAUUCAAACUCCUGCAGCACAAACCCAGAUUACACACAUCUCUCGGCGAGAGGAACCGGGCAACGAUGGCAAACACAUCAUCAGGCAGAGAAAGAAGCAAGCUUGAAUCACAGUGAUCAUUUAACAUACUGAUCCAAACCAACUGAAAACUUAUGGUAAAAAAUCGAAGUUUCAAAAACUAUUCAUAAAAUUUGCACACUUCAAUGCAUACCCACAAUUCCAAAUUAAGCACAGUACUCAAAGUAAAAUACUGAUCCCACCCAACUGAAAACUUAUUGAAAAAAACCAACUUUCAAAAACUAUUCAUCAAAUUUCCACAAUUCACCGUAUACCCACCAUUCCAAAAUCAUAAAAAUGAAAAGUUCAGCUGAAAUAGCAACAAACCGCGAAAAAAUUUCCUGAACCCAGUGAGGUCUAAGGUGCUUGGAAAUGGGAAAAGCCUACACUUUCAAUUGAGUCAAGUGAAAAUUGAAAAGGGGAACCUAACUCAGCGAAUGAAAUUCAAUUAUUGGGUGUACCAAACAUGAAUGAAAGAGACAAAUGAACAUACCAAAUACCCAAUUGAAUUUGUUAGAAGAAAAAAGGAAUAGCAAAGAAAAAACUGAGAAUUAAAAUGGAGGAAGGGUUCUGAAAAUAGAAAGAGACAACCUUGUGGUCAAGUCAUGACUCUGAACACAAUUCACUCAAAGAGGGGAAUUAUGCAUUUUUGUUCAAUGUUGGUGAAGAUAACAAUAAUAAUAGUGUGAGGUGUGUAAUGGUUGUAUUAUUGUCUUGUCUCUUUCUUUUUCUCUGCCAACCAAGAUUAAUUCACCUUAUUAUGGUUUUGGGAAUAAAGUAUAUCAUUUAUAUAUAAGUUAUCUCAUUUACCGACAUAUAUAAUUUUUUAUGAGGCGAUAUUUUAUCUUUAUAAUUUUUAGUGUAUUUAAUAUCUUUGCACAUGAAUAUUAUUAAUGUAAAUUUCAAUUUACUAAUUAUAUGAAUAAUAUUUAUAAAGUAAGGGGAAUAUUUUAAUGAAUUCACGUUACAAUAAUUUAUGAUCGAUUAUUUUCAUAUUCAUUGGCCGAAUAUUUUAAUAAAUUAAACACAGGGCACAGUAUGUUAAGUGCUUAAAAUUAAUUUCCAUUUAUAAGUUGUUUUUCAUUUAUAAGUUUUUUUAUUAUACUUUAAAUCUUAUAAUUGUUCUUUUAAAAAAAUAUUAAAAAGGGAAGUGUAAAAAGUUGGGAAAAUUGCAUGACUCACAAGCAAUCAAAUGUGAAAGAGUGUACAAGAAUCUUUAAGCUUAAAGAUUAUCUUAUUAAACUUUAAGAGACGUAAUCUUAUCAUGAUGGUCUGAAAAAGACGCAAUUUCAUCAUGAUAGUCGGACUUUACUAACUUUACUAAACCACUAAAGACUCUAUCAAACAUUACCACCAAACCCUUAAAAAUUGAUGUUGUGAAUGUUCUUACUUUUAAAUAUGAUUCUACAAAACUACAUUUAUAUGUGUUAGGUCGAACGCUAAGAUGGAUUUGGGGAACCCAAAACCUAAUAGGUGAGGAAUGUGAUUCAUUUUUUCAACUUCGAGGGAUUCAUAAUUUUAAGUUUGCGGUUUGGAAAGAUAAAACCUGAUCCUAACCCACCUUGUUGCUAGUGACAGAUCUAGGACCUAGAUGAAGGAUGUGCAACAUAUGUAAAAUAUUAAAAUAAGAAAAAAGAUGAAAAUGUGAAAACUCUGUGGCUGAUGCCCUCUCUAGAAAACUUAUAUACUCUGUCAUCUCAAUUAUCAGUAGUGAAGAGGUAGACCUAUGGAAUCAAGAGUUGCAACAGGAUUCAAAAUGGAAGAGGGUCCUUCAGGAAUUGACUGUAUCCCCUAAUUCACACCCUGAUUUUGAAUUGAAAAAGGGAUUAUCUACUAUAAGGGGAGGCUAUAUAGUUUUUUUAUGCAUAACUGUGUAUAACUAGCACAAAAACUUGAAUGCAGGGAAGUAUUUGAUGAAUAUGGAAAAGAGUUAGUGAAACUAUGUGGGAAGUUGAUAAAGGUUAUGUCCAUAAACCUUGGAUUAGAAGAGGAAUAUCUUGAAAAUGCAUUUGGAGGAGAAGACAUUGGUGCGUGUCUAAGAGUGUGC